rnacentral:rRNA from 1 species
CCUACGGGAGGCAGCAGUGGGGAAUAUUGCACAAUGGGGGAAACCCUGAUGCAGCAACGCCGCGUGAGUGAAGAAGUAUUUCGGUAUGUAAAGCUCUAUCAGCAGGGAAGAAGAUGACGGUACCUGAAUAAGAAGCCCCGGCUAACUACGUGCCAGCACCAGCGGGAAUACGUAGGGGGCAGCCGUAAUCCGGAUUUACUGGGUGUAAAGGGGGCGCAGACGGCAUUGGAAGUCUGGAGUGAAAGCCGGGGGCCCAACCCCGGAACUGCUCUGGAAACUGUGCGGCUAGAGUACUGGAGGGGCAGGCGGAAUUCCUGGUGUAGCGGUGAAAUGCGUAGAUAUUAGGAGGAACACCAGUGGCGAAGGCGGCCUGCUGGACCGUAACUGACGUUGAGGCUCGAAAGCGUGGGGAGCAAACAGGAUUAGAUACCCGGGUAGUC